GAUCUGAUUGCUCAUUGAUUUCUAGGGUUGAUUCAGUUGAUCUGGCUGGCUAGGUGGUACCCCCUUCCU
rnacentral:sRNA from 1 species